UACGUAGGGUGCGAGCGUUAAUCGGAAUUACUGGGCGUAAAGCGUGCGUAGGCGGUUCUGCAAGUCAGAUGUGAAAUCCCCGGGCUUAACCUGGGAACUGCGUUUGAAACUACGGGGCUAGAGUGUGGCAGAGGGGGGUGGAAUUCCACGUGUAGCAGUGGAAGGCGUAGAGAUGUGGAGGAACACCGAUGGCGAAGGCAACCCCCGGGGCCGACACUGACGCUGAGGCACGAAAGCGUGGGGAGCAAACAGG
rnacentral:rRNA from 1 species